GAUGAAGAACGUAGCGAAAUGCGAUACGUAGUGUGAAUUGCAGAAUUCAGUGAAUCAUCGAAUCUUUGAACGCACAUUGCACCUCUCGGUAUUCCGUGAGGUAUGCCUGUUCGAGCGUCAUUUGUACCCUCAAGCUCUGCUUGGUGUUGGGUGUUUGUUCCGCCUCUGUGUGUGAACUCGCCUCAAAACAAUUGGCAGCCGGCGUACUUGUUUCGGAGCGCAGCACAUUUUGCGAUCCAGAUCAACGUACAGCGGCAUCCAAGAAGCCUUAUUUAACGCUCUUGACCUCGGAUCAGGUAGGGAUACCCGCUGAACUUAAGCAUAUCAAUAAGCGGAGGA
rnacentral:misc_RNA from 1 species